CGUUUGCAUUCCUAUCUAUAACCCAUUUCAUUUUCCAGUUAGGGCAGUUACCAUUUCACGAAAACCCUCUUCGCCGCGUCCUUCUCUAAUUCUCUCUCUAACCUUAACCCUUUCUUCUUCAAAUCUCUUCAUCUUCAAGCCUGGAUUAUCCUGGAGAUCAUUACCUUGAUCGUGAUCAAUUAUUAUUCGCAGAGUAUUGCUAGCAGAGCUUGGGGUUACAAGGUUGUUUAUCCGCAAGGUUAUUUCUUGAGAUUUUGAGCAUGUCAAGAUUAAAACCAAAUUUGUAAUCUUAAUGAUCAUAACGGUCAAAUUCUACUACUUUUUUAACUGCUUAUGAGACAUGUUCUUGCACAUCACUAUGUAGGGAACUGAAUGUAGUUUUUAUUCUCUUAAUUUUACCGUUUUUCUGGGUUGUUUGAGUUGUAGAUUACCUUUUGAUUUUCUCAUCUAGUUUUUUUUAUCAUCGUUGAUUUUUAGUUUCAUAUUAUCUAAUUUUAUUUAGUUUUGAGUUAUUGAGCUAUAAUUGUACAAAAUUAUCCUCUAUAUUUUACGUGGAAGCGUGAAACUUGCUCUUUCUAAUUGAAAUCUGUAGGGAGUUUGUUCUUGGUGGUUUAUUUAGGAGGAAGCGAAAUGGAAGGAAAGCUAUUUCGGAGGGAAUGGAAGAGAAAUGGAUGGAGAUGAGUGUUUUUCCUCCGGAUCUUUCUGCCUUCGAAGGGAUUACAUCCUCUAAAUAUAGAACAUUUGUAAGCAAGGAAUAUUGUUCAUGAUGAACAAUACUUUGUACAUGUCAGCAAGUGCCUUUCCUUUAUCUUCUUCUCGCAUUCUCAUCUUUCCAUUUCUUCUUGACCAUUUCUCGCCAGUCGCCAUACUUGCCAUUUUGUAUAAGCGGGUCCCAUUCUCGCCAUUCUUGACAUUCUUUAACUCAGGUAAAGAUGAAAUGGUGUGCUUAGUCAUUCUCACCAUUCUCUGUCAGCAGGUGCCAGUCUCACCUUUGGUAAGAGCUGCAGUCCUUCCAUCUAUCACUUGGCCAAGGCCUCAAGAAAAAUUGAAAUCAAUUCCUUGGUACGUCACUGUUUGUUCAUUUGUUAUGUUUUUAAUCAAUUAUCUAGCCAAAAUAGGCUCAACAAAUGUGCAAGAACUUGUUAAGCUCUUUCUGUAGACGGUCUUUGCUUAAGCUUUUUCAUUAAGGCUGUUGUGAAUCAAGGGAACUUGUUACUCGUCCCAUGUUGAUUGUCAUCAUCGAUAUUUUUGUGAGAGAUUUUAAUUUCAAUUGUGGCAAUCAUUCUGGGACAUAGGAGUAGUUUGUUGACCAAAUAUGCAGGAACUAGGAACCGGGUUUUUUUGAGUAGCCAACAAUGCAUAAAAUAAAUUUAAUUCUUUUAAAAAUUAAAAUGAAAACUUUAACUUUGGUUCGGACCCAUACACUUUUUUAGAAAUUAAAAUUUUCCUAAACUUAUUUUGGGAAUUCUUUAAAAAAAUUAAGGAAAAAAUUAUCUAUAAUAAUUCAACUUUUUUAUGAUUUUC